GAGGAAUAUUGGUCAAUGGGCGAGAGCCUGAACCAGCCAAGUCGCGUGAAGGAAGAAGGAUCUAUGGUUCGUAAACUUCUUUUGCAGGGGAAUAAAGUGCAGGACGUGUCCUGUUUUGUAUGUACCCUGAGAAUAAGGAUCGGCUAACUCCGUGCCAGCAGCCGCGGUAAUACGGAGGAUCCGAGCGUUAUCCGGAUUUAUUGGGUUUAAAGGGUGCGUAGGUGGUUUGAUAAGUCAGCGGUGAAAGUUUGCAGCUUAACUGUAAAAAUGCCGUUGAAACUGUCGGACUUGAGUGUAAAUGAGGUAGGCGGAAUGCGUGGUGUAGCGGUGAAAUGCAUAGAUAUCACGCAGAACUCCGAUUGCGAAGGCAGCUUACUAAGCUACAACUGACACUGAAGCACGAAAGCGUGGGGAUCAAAC
rnacentral:rRNA from 1 species